rnacentral:rRNA from 1 species
AUUGAACGCUGGCGGCAGGCCUAACACAUGCAAGUCGAACGAGUGGCGGACGGGUGAGUAAUGUCUGGGAAACUGCCUGAUGGAGGGGGCUAACUACUGGAAACGGUAGCUAAUACCGCAUACCCUCGGAUGUGCCCAGAUGGGAUUAGCUAGUAGGUGGGGUAAAGGCUCACCGAGGCGACGAUCCCUAGCUGGGCUGAGGGGAUGACCAGCCACACUGGAACUGAGGCACGGUCCAGACUCCUACGGGAUGCAGCAGUGGGGAAUAUUGGACAAUGGGAGCAAGCCUGAUGCAGCCAUGCCGCGUGGAUGAAGAAGGCCUGCGGGUUGUAAAGUACUGUCAGCGGGGAGGCGUUACCCGCAGAAGAAGCACCGGCUAACUCCGUGCCAGCAGCCGCGGUAAUUC